rnacentral:rRNA from 1 species
AUUAAUAAAAUUAUAUAAAUUUAUUUUAAAUAAAGUAUUAUUUUGUUUUAUUAUUAUAAUAGAAAAAAUUUAUUUUAUUAUAGUUAAAAGUAUAGUAAUAGAAAUUUUAAAUAUACUAAUAAUUAAAAUUUUUAAAAGAAAAAUUCGAUUUUUGUACCUUGUGUAUCAGGGUUUAUUAAUAAAAUUUUAUAUAUAUAUAAAUUUCUCGGUUUUAAAAGAUUUAAAUAUUUAUUUUUUUUAAUGUUAAAUAAUUAUUAUUAAUAAAUAUUUAGUAAUGAAACGUUAUUCGUUUUUAAAUAUAUCUAGUUUCUUAAGAAAUAAAUUUAAUUUAUUUAUUAAUAUAAAUUAACUUUAUUUGUAAAUUUAUUUUUAUUAAUAAAUAAUAUUUUAAGGGAUAAGCUUUAAAAUAAAUUUAUAUAAUAUAAAAUUUAAUAAUUAAUUGUAGGAUUAAAAAUUUCUUUCAUUAAUAAUUUGUUAUAAUUAAUUUUUAAAAUUAUUUUUUAUAUUAUAUUUAUAUUUUUUAUUAAGAUUAUUUAUAUAAUUUUUUAUAAUUGUAAUAAUGAUAAAAUUAGUAUAUAUUUUUUUAAAUAUAAAUUAUAAAUAUAAGGCUAAAUUAAGGAAUUCGGCAAAAUUAUUUUUCGCCUGUUUAAUAAAAACAUGUCUUUUUGAUUAUAAUUUAAAGUCUGACCUGCCCUAUGAAUAUUUAAAUGGCCGCGGUAUUUUGACCGUGCAAAGGUAGCAUAAUCAUUAGUUUUUUAAUUGAAAGCUAGAAUGAAAGGUUUGACGAAAAAAUAACUGUCUCAGUUUAGUUUAAUUAGAAUUUUAUUUUUAAGUUAAAAAGCUUAAAUAUUUUUAAAAGACGAGAAGACCCUAUAGAGUUUAAUAUUUUUGUAAUUUUAAAUUUUUAUAAUUUAAUUAAUUUAUAAAAAUAUUUUAUUGGGGUGAUAAAUAAAUUUAAUUAACUUUAUUUUUUUUUUACAUAUAUUUAUGAAUUAUUGAUCCAUUAUUAAUGAUUAUAAGAUUAAAUUACCUUAGGGAUAACAGCGUAAUUUUUUUAGAGAGUUCAAAUCGAAAAUUAAGAUUGCGACCUCGAUGUUGGAUUAAAGUAAAUUUUUGGUGUAGAAGCUAAUAUAUUAAGUCUGUUCGACUUUUAAUACUUUACAUGAUCUGAGUUUAAACCGGUGUGAGCCAGGUUGGUUUCUAUCUUUAAAAUAAUAAAAUGUUUUAGUACGAAAGGACCAAAUAUUUAUAAUAAUUAUUUAUAUAAGAAUAUUAUU